GUUCACCUUGUAACACUUUGCAGGUCUUCUGAUCUUCACUUGUCAUGACGUCAUAGAGAGAAAAUAGCCAAAGAAUGUCUCAAGGUAUUCCUGCUGCUUCCUGAUACUUCAGACGACUCGUGCUGAUUCGGCAGAGCCUUGUGGUUUCUUCUGGAUCGAGCUGCUGCUACUGAUCCAUGGUUGGAAUCACCCCAAAGAACUACUUCUAAACAGGACCCGGGGACAGUCAGAAGAAAGCGUACAGCACAGUGCUGAUUUCUGCAUCAACCUCUUCAUUCAAAAUCCCCUUGAUGCCGGGGAUCAUGCUUAGAAAGCCAAAUCUUCCCUCUGAAGACGGAGAAGAACGAGGUUCCCCCAGGCUGGCCCAGUAUCUCUCAUACUUCAGCUGUGAAAUUUCCCCUCCUGGCAGUCGAGGGUCCAAAUGUUCAACAGCUGCAUGCUUCUCACUCAGUCUCUUGCCUGCAGGGCCAAGCAGAUGCAUAGUGUACUGUUUGCAAAGCACAAAGGAAUGAUUCUUUAUGUAGGCCAGUGCCACUAGCCCCAGCUCUCAGUGUGUCAUGGUCCUGGUCACCAUCACAGCCUCCACAUACUCUUAGCCCUUGAUAGGUUGGGACUGGGAAGACUGUACCUCAAAAAAAAAAAAGUUAUGGGCCUAUCCAGCUGGCAAGAUCUGAAAGUUCUCAUAUGUUUAUAUCACCAAGCUUGUUAUGGAUCUGAUACAAGGAAAUAAAGGAACAGCUUCACAAA